rnacentral:rRNA from 1 species
GACGAACGCUGGCGGCGUGCUUAACACAUGCAAGUCGUACGGUAAGGCCCUUUCGGGGGUACACGAGUGGCGAACGGGUGAGUAACACGUGAGUAACCUGCCCACAACUUUGGGAUAACGCUAGGAAACUGGUGCUAAUACUGGAUAUGUGCCCCUGCUGCAUGGUGGGGGUUGGAAAGCUCCGGCGGUUGUGGAUGGACUCGCGGCCUAUCAGCUUGUUGGUGGGGUAGUGGCCUACCAAGGCGGCGACGGGUAGCCGGCCUGAGAGGGUGACCGGCCACAUUGGGACUGAGAUAAGGCCCAGACUCCUACGGGAGGCAGCAGUGGGGAAUAUUGAACAAUGGGCGCAAGCCUGACGCAGCAACGCCGCGUGCAGGAUGACGGCCUUCGGGUUGUAAAACGCUUUCAGCAGGGACGAAGCUUUUUGUGACGGUACCUGCAGAAGAAGCACCGGCUAACUACGUG